UACGUAGGGUGCAAGCGUUAAUCGGAAUUACUGGGCGUAAAGCGUGCGCAGGCGGCUUUGCAAGACAGAUGUGAAAUCCCCGGGCUUAACCUGGGAACUGCAUUUGUGACUGCAUGGCUGGAGUGCGGCAGAGGGGGAUGGAAUUCCGCGUGUAGCAGUGAAAUGCGUAGAUAUGCGGAGGAACACCGGUGGCGAAGGCGGCCAUCUGGACGGAUACUGACGCUGAGACGCGAAAGCGUGGGGAGCAAACAGG
rnacentral:rRNA from 1 species